UACGAAGGGGGCGAGCGUUGUCCGGAAUUAUUGGGCGUAAAGAGCUCGUAGGCGGUCUGUCGCGUCUGCUGUGAAAACUCGGGGCUUAACCCCGGGCCUGCAGUGGGUACGGGCAGACUAGAGUGCGGUAGGGGAGACUGGAAUUCCUGGUGUAGCGGUGAAAUGCGCAGAUAUCAGGAGGAACACCGGUGGCGAAGGCGGGUCUCUGGGCCGUAACUGACGCUGAGGAGCGAAAGCGUGGGGAGCGAACAGG
rnacentral:rRNA from 1 species